rnacentral:rRNA from 1 species
GACGAACGCUGGCGGCGUGCUUAACACAUGCAAGUCGAACGCUGAAGCCCUGGCUUUUGUUGGGUUGGAUGAGUGGCGAACGGGUGAGUAACACGUGAGUAACCUGCCCUCUUCUUUGGGAUAACGCCCGGAAACGGGUGCUAAUACUGGAUAUUCACUGAUCUUCGCAUGGGGGUUGGUGGAAAGGUUUGUUCUGGUGGGGGAUGGGCUCGCGGCCUAUCAGCUUGUUGGUGGGGUGAUGGCCUACCAAGGCUUUGACGGGUAGCCGGCCUGAGAGGGUGACCGGUCACAUUGGGACUGAGAUACGGCCCAGACUCCUACGGGAGGCAGCAGUGGGGAAUAUUGCACAAUGGGCGAAAGCCUGAUGCAGCGACGCCGCGUGAGGGAUGGAGGCCUUCGGGUUGUAAACCUCUUUCGCUCAUGGUCAAGCCGCAACUGUGGGUUGUGGUGAGGGUAGUGGUUAAAGAAGCGCCGGCUAACUACGUG